GGGAAUAUAGCUCAGUGGUAGAGCAUGUACUUAGUAUGUAUGAGCUCUAGUUCGAAACCGAGUACUGCCA
rnacentral:tRNA from 1 species